UCCGGAGCUAACGCGUUAAAUCGACCGCCUGGGGAGUACGGCCGCAAGGUUAAAACUCAAAUGAAUUGACGGGGGCCCGCACAAGCGGUGGAGCAUGUGGUUUAAUUCGAUGCAACGCGAAGAACCUUACCUGGUCUUGACAUCCACAGAACUUUCCAGAGAUGGAUUGGUGCCUUCGGGAACUGUGAGACAGGUGCUGCAUGGCUGUCGUCAGCUCGUGUUGUGAAAUGUUGGGUUAAGUCCCGCAACGAGCGCAACCCUUAUCCUUUGUUGCCAGCGGUCCGGCCGGGAACUCAAAGGAGACUGCCAGUGAUAAACUG
rnacentral:rRNA from 1 species